UACAGAGGUCUCAAGCGUUGUUCGGAUUCAUUGGGCGUAAAGGGUGCGUAGGCGGCGCGGUAAGUCGGGUGUGAAAUCUCGGAGCUUAACUCCGAAACUGCAUUCGAUACUGCCGUGCUCGAGGACUGGAGAGGAGACUGGAAUUUACGGUGUAGCGGUGAAAUGCGUAGAUAUCGUAAGGAAGACCAGUGGCGAAGGCGGGUCUCUGGACAGUUCCUGACACUGAGACACGAAGGCCAGGGGAGCAAACGGG
rnacentral:rRNA from 1 species